UUAGAAUGCAAGGAAGUUGACAUGUCAUCACUUCAUUUUUUUGCGCCUGCGCAUAAAUCUGAGAAGCGUGAGUUUGUCAUUAAUUGUUUAUCAAGACAUAGGAUAGGUUAUGUGAAAAUAUUACUGAUGUUUAAUGUUAAGAAUGGACCAAAAGAUUAAUGCUAAACAAGGUUUGACAUGUUUGAACGAACGUAAAUAGAUUAUUUACUAGGUUUUUUUAGCUUUUCGGCGUGAUUUUACAACCCCCCACCACGUUUUGUGGGAGCAUAAUGAACGCUAACUACUUGGUGUUAUUUGGACAUAAAUUAUGAACUUUGUCAAAAGAAACCACAUUUGUUCCGGACCUGGGAUUCCUGGCAGUGCCUUCUGAUGGAGAUAAUCAAAGUAGGAUGAGAAGAGGAAGUUGCCCCAAGCGCUAUGGAACCCAGACGAGAUGAGAAAUUGGCCCCAAGCGCUAUGGAUCCCAGACGAGAAGAGACCGCACUCAGUCAGCUGUAUAAGGAAAUAAGCAAACAGGAAACCGCUCACCCAGAGGCGGCGCUCCUUGUGGCCGGAGACUUUAAUGCAGGGAAACUUAAAUCAGUUCUACCUAAUUUCCAUCAACAUGUUAAAUGUGCAACCACAGAGAAAAAAAAUCUAGAUCACCAAGACUCCAAACACCUGUACUCUCCCUCGCCCUCCAUUUGGUAAAUCCGACCACAACUCUAUCCUCCAGAUUCCUGCUUACAAGCAAAAAUUAAAGCAGGAAGCACCAGUGACUCAGUCUAUAAAAAAGUGGUCAGAUGAAGCAGAUGCUAAACUACAGGACUGUUUUGCUAUCACAGACUGGAACAUGUUCCGGGAUUCUUCCGAUGUCAUUGAGGAGUACACCGCAUCAGUCACUGGCUUUAUCAAUAAGUGCAUCGAGGACGUCGUCCCCACAGUGUACGUACAUACCCCAACCAGAAGAUAUGUAUUACAGGCAACAUUCGCACUGAGCUAAAGGGUAGAGCUGCCGCUUUCAAGGUGCGGGACUCUAACCCGGAAGCUUAGAAUAAAUCCUGCUAUGCCCUCCGACGAACCAUCAAACAGGCAAAGCGUCAAUACAGGGCUAAGAUUGAAUCGUACUACACCGGCUCCAAUGCUCAUCUUAUGUGACAGGGCUUGCAAACCAUUACGGACUACAAAGGGAAGCACAGCCGCGAGCUGCCUAGUGACACGAGCCUACCAGACAAGCUAAAUCACUUCUAUGCUCGCUUCGAGGCAAGCAACACUGAGGCAUGCAUGAGAGCAUCAGCUGUUCCGGACAACUGUGUGAUCACGCUCUCCGUAGCUGACGUGAGUAAGACCUUUAAAUAGGUCAACAUUCACAAGUCUGCGGGGCCAGACGGAUUACCAGGACGUGUGCUCCGGGCAUGUGCUGACCAACUGGCAGGUGUCUUCACUGACAUUUUCAACAUGUCCCUGAUUGAGUCUGUAAUACCAACAUGUUUCAAGCAGACCACCAUAGUCCCUGUGCCCAAGAACACAAAGGCAACCUGCCUAAAUGACUACAGACCCGUAGCACUCACGUCCGUAGCCAUGAAGUGCUUUGAAAGGGCUCACAUCAACACCAUUAUCCCAGAAACUCUAGACCCUCUCCAAUUUGCAUACCGCCCAAAGAGAUCCACAGAUGAUGCAAUCUGAAUUGCACUCCACACCGCCCUUUCCCACCUGGACAAAAGGAACACCUAUGUGAGAAUGCUAUUUAUUGACUGCAGCUCAGCGUUCAACACCAUAGUACCAUCAAAGCUCAUCACUAAGUUAAGGAUCCUG
rnacentral:lncRNA from 1 species